GAGCGAGCCUGAACUGUUUAGAACCAGUCUUUGCCUCUUAAAGGGGAGGUGCAUUGUGGCUGCAGCAAGUGCUGGGUGUUGUGGUUGAGGAGGGGAGAGAGUGGGCUACAAGGUUUCUGAACGCUCCAAGGGGACAUUGGUGAAGGGCACAGAAAGGAGGAGAGAAAUCCUGUAGCCACAGGGGGCAGGAAGCCCUCCAGGCACAUGCUCAGAAGACAGUGGGGGCAAAUAGACAUGGAAGUCUGUGCCAGAUGAACUGGAUGGAGUGCUGCAAGAUGUUCAAUGGCCUCACAUGGGUGGUCAAGAUCUAACCUGCCAACCGGAGAGUUUGAAUGGAGAGCUGAAGCUGAUCCUUAUGGUGCGGUGACCACAGACUAUCUUCUUCCUUGGUGUUUUAGUCAAACAAAAGCAUAUAGUGGUGGACAUUAAAGAUUCCUCAGCACUAUUUCGAUGAAGAGGUGGAGAGCUGUCAGAUUGUCUUGGCCGAUAUAUAUCCCUCAGCCAACAUCAAUGAAACAGAUUAACUGGCUACUUCCCUCAUCCGUUGUUCAUGUGACUUUGUAUUGUGCCUUUGCCUGCACUUGAACAGUGGUUAAUUCUCAAUAAAGUACUUCGAGGUGUU